CGCACCUACGGGGGGCAGCAGUGGGGGAUAUUGCACAAUGGGGGGAACCCUGAUGCAGCGACGCCGCGUGGGUGAAGGAGUGCUUCGGCAUGUAAAGCCCUAUCGGCAGGGAAGAAGCAAGACGGUACCUGACUAAGAAGCCCCGGCUAACUACGUGCCAGCAGCCGCGGUAAUACGGAGGAUGCGAGCGUUAUCCGGAUUUAUUGGGUUUAAAGGGUGCGCAGGCGGCACGGCAAGCCGGCGGUCAAAUCGCGGGGCUCAACCCCGCCCAGCCGUCGGAA
rnacentral:rRNA from 1 species